GACGAACGCUGGCGGCGUGCUUAACACAUGCAAGUCGAACGGAAAGGCCCUGCUUUUGUGGGGUGCUCGAGUGGCGAACGGGUGAGUAACACGUGAGUAACCUGCCCUUGACUUUGGGAUAACUUCAGGAAACUGGGGCUAAUACCGGAUAGGAGCUCCUGCUGCAUGGUGGGGGUUGGAAAGUUUCGGCGGUUGGGGAUGGACUCGCGGCUUAUCAGCUUGUUGGUGGGGUAGUGGCUUACCAAGGCUUUGACGGGUAGCCGGCCUGAGAGGGUGACCGGCAAAAUGGGAACGGGGAACCGGCCCAGACCCUUCCGGAGGCAGCAGUGGGGAAUAUUGCACAAUGGGCGGAAGCCUGAUGCAGCAACGCCGCGUGCGGGAUGACGGCCUUCGGGUUGUAAACCGCUUUCGCCUGUGACGAAGCGUGAGUGACGGUAAUGGGUAAAGAAGCACCGGCUAACUACGUG
rnacentral:rRNA from 1 species